UACGUAGGUGACCAGCGUUGUCCGGAUUUACUGGGCGUAAAGAGCGCGCAGGCGGUCGUUCAAGUCGAGUGUGAAAGCCCCCGGCUCAACUGGGGAGGGUCAUUCGAUACUGAUCGACUCGAAGGCAGGAGAGGGAAGCGGAAUUCCCGGUGUAGUGGUGAAAUGCGUAGAUAUCGGGAGGAACACCAGUGGCGAAGGCGAGUCCCUGGACAACUCCUGACACUGAGGCACGAAAGCUAGGGGAGCAAACAGG
rnacentral:rRNA from 1 species